CCUACGGGAGGCAGCAGUGGGGGAUAUUGCACAAUGGGGGAAACCCUGAUGCAGCGACGCCGCGUGGGCGAAGAAGUAUUUCGGUAUGUAAAGCCCUAUCAGCAGGGAAGAAGAAAUGACGGUACCUGAGUAAGAAGCACCGGCUAAAGACGUGCCAGCAGCCGCGGUAAUACGUAUGGUGCAAGCGUUAUCCGGAUUUACUGGGGGUAAAGGGAGCGCAGGCGGCACGGCAAGCCUGAUGUGAAAGCCCGGGGCCCAACCGCGGGGCUGCAUUGGGAACUGGCGGGCUUGAGUGCCGGAGAGGUAGGCGGAAUUCGUAGGGUAGCGGUGAAAUGCGUAGAUAUGAGGAGGAACACCAGUGGCGAAGGCGGCCUGCUGGACGGUGACUGACGCUGAGGCUCGAAAGCGUGGGGAGCAAACAGGAUUAGAUACCCCUGUAGUC
rnacentral:rRNA from 1 species